CGUAAUGGUGGGAACUCAAAGGAGACUGCCGGUGAUAAACCGGAGGAAGGUGGGGAUGACGUCAAGUCAUCAUGGCCCUUACGAGUAGGGCUACACACGUGCUACAAUGGCAGAUACAAAGAGAAGCGACCUCGCGAGAGCAAGCGGAACUCAUAAAGUCUGUCGUAGUCCGGAUUGGAGUCUGCAACUCGACUCCAUGAAGUCGGAAUCGCUAGUAAUCGUAGAUCAGAAUGCUACGGUGAAUACGUUCCCGGGCCUUGUACACACCGCCCGUCACACCAUGGGAGUGGGUUGCAAAAGAAGUAGGUAGCUUAACCUUCGGGAGGGCGCUUACCACUUUGUGAUUCAUGACUGGGGUGAAGUCGUAACAAGGUAACCGUAGGGGAACCUGCGGUUGGAUCACCUCCUUA
rnacentral:rRNA from 1 species